rnacentral:rRNA from 1 species
ACCAGACUCCUACGGGAGGCAGCAGUGGGGAACACAGCACAAUGGGGGGAACCCUGAUGCAGCGACGCCGCGUGGGAGAAGGAGUAGUUCGGGAUGUAAAGCCCUAUCAGCAGGGAAGAACAAUGACGGGACCUGACUAAGAAGCACCGGCUAAAUACGUGCCAGCAGCCGCGGUAAUACGUAUGGUGCAAGCGUUAUCCGGAUUUACUGGGUGUAAAGGGAGCGCAGGCGGCGCGUUAAGCCUGGUGUGAAAGCCCGCGGCCCAACCGCGGGACUGCAUUGGGAACUGGCGCGCUGGAGUGCCGGAGGGGUAGGCGGAAUUCCUAGUGUAGCGGUGAAAUGCGUAGAUAUUAGGAGGAACACCAGUGGCGGAGGCGGCCUACUGGACGGUGACUGACGCUGAGGCUCGAAAGCGUGGGGAGCAAACAGGAUUAGAUACCCCUGUA